rnacentral:rRNA from 1 species
AGAGUUUGAUCCUGGCUCAGAAUCAACGCUGGCGGCGUGCCUAACACAUGCAAGUCGCACGAGAAAGUGGAGCGAUCCAUGAGUACAGUGGCGCACGGGUGAGUAACACGUGAAUGAUCUACCUCCGAGUGGGGAAUAACUGAGAGAAAUCUUAGCUAAUACCGCAUAAUACCCACGGGUCAAAGCAGCAAUGCGCUUGGAGAGGAGUUCGCGGCCGAUUAGCUAGUUGGCGGGGUAAUGGCCCACCAAGGCGAUGAUCGGUAUCCGGCCUGAGAGGGCGCACGGACACACUGGAACUGAAACACGGUCCAGACUCCUACGGGAGGCAGCAGUGGGGAGUUUUGCGCAAUGGGGGAAACCCUGACGCAGCAACGCCGCGUGGAGGAUGAAAUCCCUUGGGAUGUAAACUCCUUUCGAUAGGGAAGAUAAUGACGGUACCUAUAGAAGAAGCCCCGGCUAACUUCGUGCCAGCAGCCGCGGUAAUACGAGGGGGGCAAGCGUUGUUCGGAAUUAUUGGGCGUAAAGGGUGCGUAGGCGGUUUGGCAAGUCUUAUGUGAAAUCUAUGGGCUCAACUCAUAGUCUGCAUGAGAAACUGCCGGGCUUGAGUAUGGGAGAGGUGAGUGGAAUUUCCGGUGUAGCGGUGAAAUGCGUAGAUAUCGGAAGGAACACCUGUGGCGAAAGCGGCUCACUGGACCAUAACUGACGCUGAUGCACGAAAGCUAGGGGAGAAACAGGAUUAGAUACCCUAGUAGUCC